CAACUUAUUGUUAUAAAAUUAUUAUCUAAUACAAUAAAGAUAUAGAAGUUGUGUAAUCUGUAAACAAAAAAUGAAUGAUGAAGUUAGCAAAGGAGACCAACAACUGAAGAAGUUAAAAAUGUUCUAGUGAAGAGGUUGGAUCUAUUGAGUGAAUUGUUUCUUCAAGACAUUUGGCUCUGAAGUAGAAACAUUUUUCUUGGAUUUUCAACCUCAGAUAUCCCCUGAAGUAAAGAAAUGAACAGUUAAUUGGAAGCCAAUCAAGGAGAGAACAGCGAAACUAGGGAUAUUCAAAAU
rnacentral:lncRNA from 1 species